rnacentral:ncRNA from 1 species
GGUCAUGAGCGCCAGCGCGAAGCCCCGGCUCGCUGGCCGGCAACCCUUCCGUUCGCGACGGGGUGCCCCGGGUGAGGACCGGGCCGUCGCCGACCGGCGACGGCAAACGGCGAAC